AUGAACGCUGGCGGCGUGCCUAACACAUGCAAGUCGAGCGAGAAGUUGCUGACGGAGAUUCGGUCAACAGAAGCGAUGGAUAGCGGCGGACGGGUGAGUAACGCGUAGGUAAGCUGCCCCCGCACACGAGGAAUAGCCUAGGGAAACCUGGAUUAAUGCCUGAUGACGCGGCGGAGUCACAUGGCUCUGUCGCCAAAAGAUUUAGUCGGUGUGGGAUGCACCUGCGUCUGAUUAGUUGUUGGCGAGGUAACGGCCCACCAAGGCGACGAUCAGUAGCCGACCUGAGAGGGUAAUCGGCCACAUUGGAACUGAGACACGGUCCAAACUCCUACGGGAGGCAGCAGUGAGGAAUAUUGCACAAUGGGGGAAACCCUGAUGCAGCAACGCCGCGUGAGCGAAGAAGGUCUUCGGAUCGUAAAGCUCUGUCCUAAGGGACGAAGAAGUGACGGUACCUUAGGAGGAAGCCCCGGCUAACUACGUGCCAGCCGCGGC
rnacentral:rRNA from 1 species